rnacentral:lncRNA from 10 species
GCCGGGCAUGGUGGCUCAUGCCUGUAAUCCCAGCACUUUGGGAGGCUGAGGCAGGUGGAUCACUUGAGGCCAGGAGUUCGAGACCAGCUUGGCCUCGUGGUGAAACCCUGUCUCUACUAAAAAUGCAAAAAUUAGCCAGGCGUGGGAGUCUGUAGUCCCCAGCUACUCGGGAGGCUGAGCCAGGAGAAUAGCUUAAACCGGGGAGGUGGAGGUUGCAGUGAGCCGAGAUCACGCUACUGCACUCCAGCCUGGGCGACAGAGGGAGACUCUGUCU